ACCCUGGUUUCCUAGCCCCAGGGAAGAGCA
rnacentral:tRNA from 1 species